GCGCUGACGAGUGGCGGACGGGUGAGUAACGCGUAGGAAUCUGCCUUAUAGUGGGGGACAACGUGGGGAAACCCACGCUAAUACCGCAUACGCCCUACGGGGGAAAGGAGGGGAUCUUCGGACCUUUCGCUAUGAGAUGAGCCUGCGUUAGAUUAGCUAGUUGGUAGGGUAAAGGCCUACCAAGGCGACGAUCUAUAGCUGGUCUGAGAGGACGAUCAGCCACACUGGGACUGAGACACGGCCCAGACUCC
rnacentral:rRNA from 1 species